UUUGAUUAUGGCUCAGAUUGAACGCUGGCGGGAUGCUUUACACAUGCAAGUCGAACGGCAGCACGGACUUCGGUCUGGUGGCGAGUGGCGAACAGGUGAGUAAUGUAUCAGGGCGUGCCUAGUAGCGGGGGAUAACUACGCGAAAGCGUAGCUAAUACCACACUCGCGGCAGGGGAAAGCAGGGGGACCUUCGGGCCCUCGCACUAUGAAACUGACCGAUAUCGGAUUAGCUAGUUGGUGGGGUAACGGCUCACCAAGGCGACGAUCCGUCGCUGGUUUGAGGACGACCAGCCACGCAGGGACUGAGACGGCCCAGACUCCUACGGGAGGCAGCUUGAUGGGGAAUUUUUGGACAAUGGGGAAACCUGAUCAAUAUCCCGCGCGAUGGAAACCUUCGGGUUUGUAAAAAGCACACACAGCAGAAAAAGCAGCGCGGGAUAAUACCCCGUGCAACUGACCAGUACCUGCAGAAUAAGCACCGGCUAACUACGUGCCAGCAGCCGCGGAAGCAGUACGUAGGGGUGGCAUGUUAAUCAAAUUACUGGGCGUAAAGCGUGCACAGGCGGUUCGGAAAGAAAGAUGUGAAAUCCCAGAGCUUAACUUUGGAACUGCAUUUUUAACUACCGAGCUAGAGUGUGUCAGGGAGGGAGGUGGAAUUCACGUGUAGCAAUUGAAAUGUACGUAGAUAUGCGGAGAAAUUUACCGAUAGCGAAGGCAGCCUCCUGGGAUAACUGACGCUCUGCAGCGUGGGGAGCAAACAGGAUUAGAUACCCUGGUAGUCCACCGCCUAAACGAUGUCCAACAACUAGCUGUUUGGGGCCUUCGGGCCUUGGUAGCGCAACUAACGCGUGAAGUUGACCGCCUGGGGGAGUACGGUCGCAGAUUCGCUCAGGAACGGGCGGGACCGCACAAGCGGUGAUGGAUGAUGGAUUAAUUCGAUGCCGCGAAAGCGCCCCACUUGACAUGUCUGGAAUCAAGAUUUGGAGUGCUCGCAAGAGAGAACCGGAACACAGGUGCUGCAUGGCUGUCGCCAGCUCGUGUCGUGAGAUGUUGGGUUAAGUCCCGCAACGAGCGCAACCCUUGUCAUUAGUUGCUACGAAAGGGCACUCCUAAUGAGACUGCCGGUGACAAACCGGAGGAAGGUGGGGAUGACGUCAAGUCCUCAUGGCCCUUAUGGUGAGGCUUACCUACGUCAUACAAUGGUGGGAUCAGAGGUCGCCAACCCGCGAGAAGAGGCCAAUCAGAAACCCCGAUCGUAGUCCGGAUCAACUCGACUGCGUGAAGUCAGAAUCAGCACUAGUAAUCACGGAUCAGCAUGUCGCGGUGAAUACGUUCCCGGGUCUUGUACACACCGCCCGUCACACCAUGGGAGUGGGUUUUACCAAGUAGUUAGCUAACCGUAAGGAGGGCGAUUACCACGGUGGAUUCAUGACUGAGACGAAGUCUUAACAAGGUAA
rnacentral:rRNA from 1 species